GGGUCCGUGGCGCAACGGAUAACGCGCUUGACUACGGAUCAAGAGAUUGCAGGUUCGAAUCCUGCCGGACUCG